GUCUGCAGCCAUACUACCCUGAACGUGCCCAACCUCAUCUGAAGCUAAGCAGAGUGGGGCCUGGUUAGUACUUAGAUGGGAAAAAUUCUUGGUCUUUCUUGGUC
rnacentral:rRNA from 1 species